rnacentral:lncRNA from 1 species
AAUGCUGACAGCUGUUCUCCAACACCCAGCUAGGGGCGGGAGGGUCCGCCCACUUCUACCAGAUUUUGCACACAAAACAGUGGAAAGACCAUUCUCAUGGCUCCAAGCCGUUUUCUCCCUUCAUCGCCUGCAAUUUUAGGGCUUUUCGGGGGGUAUGACUGCAGGGAUUUUAGAGGUUUUUUUCCUCAUUCUCUUUUUAAGAGGUGAUAAAAAGCAUUUAAAUUAGCGGCAGGGCGGUUAACACCCGCAGCCCUAGCCUCUCCGCACUUCUCGUCGCUCGUCCGUGUUCACUCCACGCCUGGCCUCGGGUAGGAGCCGCAUAGCGCCAACGGUUGCGGGUCGCAACUACUCCCAGGCGGCGCGCCUUGCGCGCCGGGCCUCCCAGGACCGCGGCGAGUUCAGAAGGCGCGGGGAGAGAAGGAGACGUACGAGGAGGACCGGGAGUACGAGAGCCAGGCCAAGCGUCUCAAGACCGAGGAGGGGGAGAUCGACUACUCGGCCGAGGAAGGCGAGAACCGCCGGGAAGCGACGCCCCGGGGCGGGGGCGAUGGCGGCGGCGGCGGCCGGAGCUUCUCUCAGCCGGAGGCAGGUGGAAGUCAUCAUAAAGUUUCUGUUUCACCCGUCGUCCAUGUUCGAGGACUCUGUGAAUCUGUGG